AUUGAACGCUGGCGGCAGGCCUAACACAUGCAAGUCGAGCGAGCGGCGGACGGGUGAGUAAUGCCUGGGAAUUGCCCAGUCGAGGGGGAUAACAGUUGGAAACGACUGCUAAUACCGCAUACGAUUGGAUCGCCCAGGGGGGAUUAGCAAGUUGGGGAGGUAAGGGCUCACAAGGGAGACGAUCCCUAGCUGGUCUGAGAGGAGGAACAGCAAAAAUGGAACUGAGACACGGUCCAGACUCCUACGGGAGGCAGCAGUGGGGAAUAUUGCACAAUGGGGGAAACCCUGAUGCAGCCAUGCCGCGUGUGUGAAGAAGGCCUUCGGGUUGUAAAGCACUUUCAGCGAGGAGGCGUUACUCGCAGAAGAAGCACCGGCUAACUCCGUGCCAGCCGCCGCGGUAAUUC
rnacentral:rRNA from 1 species